rnacentral:misc_RNA from 1 species
GUGUCUUUUCACCUUGUUGUGAAUGCACCCAUUUGCAUCUGAUUCUUCCUUUCACGAAGUGUUUGCAAUAGAAAAAUGCUUGGAAGCAAUACUGCUAAGAUAGUUGAUAAAAAACUUGUAUGUGCGGUUUUAUGAGGAAUGAUAUGUACACUCAUAAACUAUUGUAAUAGUUAUCUUACAAUAGUUAUUUGAUCUUAAAUUUGGGAAU